UGCAGUCGAGCGCCUUGACUUCGGUCAGGAGCGGCGGACGGGUGAGUAACACGUGGAUUAAGUACCUUCUGGUGGGGAAUAACUGCGGGAAACUGCAGCUAAUACCGGAUAAUGUCUUCGGACCAAAGGUGUGAUUCCGUCUGAGGAGGGGCCUGCAUCCUAUUAGCUUGUUGGUGAGGUAAUGGCUCACCAAGGCAACGAUGGGUAGCGGGUGUGAGAGCAUGACCCGCGUCAUUGGGACUGAGACACUGCCCAGACAUCUACCUUCGGCAAUGGGCGAAAGCCUGACCGAGCGACGCCGCGUGCGGGAUGAAGGCCCUCGGGUUGUAAACCGCUGUCGUUGGGGAGGAAAUGCAAGAGGGCUAUCCCUUUUGUUUGACCGAUCCAAGGAGGAAGUACGGGCUAAGUUCGUGCCAGCAGCCGCGGUAAGACGAACCGUACGAACGUUAUUCGGAAUUACUGGGCUUAAAGGGUGCGUAGGCUGCACGGAAAGUUGGGUGUGAAAGCCCUCAGCUCAACUGAGGAAUUACAUCCAAAACUGCCGUGCUUGAGGGAGACAGAGGUGAGCGGAACUCAAGGUGGAGCGGUGAAAUGCGUUGAUAUCUUGAGGAACACCGGUGGCGAAGGCGGCUCACUGGGUCUCUUCUGACGCUGAGGCACGAAAGCUAAGGUAGCAAACGGGAUUAGAUACCCCGGUAGUCUUAGCUGUAAACGAUGAGCACUUGAUUGGAGGGUCCUCCAUAGCCUUCCAGUCGUAGCGAAAGUGUUAAGUGCUCCGCCUGGGGAGUAUGGUCGCCAGGCUGAAACUCAAAGAAAUUGACGGGGGC
rnacentral:rRNA from 1 species